CACUGACACGCAGGGGAAGACUGUGCCAGGGCAGCGGGCACAGGGCUGGAGGGGGGGCAGAGCUCCUUCCUCUGCUCUCUCCUGCCUGCGCACCCUCUCUGUAGCCCUCCCUGCUCUCCUCCUUUCUUAGAUGCCAGCUGGUUACCAGUGUACCAGCUGGAACCAGAACAUGUGGACGUCAUCCGGGCCUUUGUCAGCAGCCCAGAAAAGGACGAGGAACGGAAGCUCCAGUUCCUUAAAAGCAUCGCUGUGCUCUUCAGAGCCGCAACGUACAACAGCUUGUGCCAGGGCCUAGAGCUGUUCUGCCAGAGAUACAAACUGGCAGAGAAUAUCAAGGUGCUGCUGGAAGAAGAGCCCAGGGACCAACUGCACACAGCGGUGUGGCGGAGCGCCAUGUUUGCCAUGACCGAAAUGAGCUUCGUAGAGGCGGUGUUGGAGGGCAAAGAGAUAGGCCUCCUCCAAGUGUGCUUCUCCGGCAUCUUCCUGCUUCCUCCAAAAGAGGAAAUGCAGGACCUGAAACCUUUCCUGUACUUCACG